rnacentral:rRNA from 1 species
GACGAACGCUGGCGGCGUGCUUAACACAUGCAAGUCGAACGGAAAGGCCCUGCUUUUGUGGGGUGCUCGAGUGGCGAACGGGUGAGUAACACGUGAGUAACCUGCCCUUGACUUUGGGAUAACUUCAGGAAACUGGGGCUAAUACCGGAUAGGAGCUCCUGCUGCAUGGUGGGGGUUGGAAAGUUUCGGCGGUUGGGGAUGGACUCGCGGCUUAUCAGCUUGUUGGUGGGGUAGUGGCUUACCAAGGCUUUGACGGGUAGCCGGCCUGAGAGGGUGACCGGCCACAUUAGGACUGAGAUACGGCCCAGACGCCAACGGGAGGCAGCAGUGGGGAAUAUUGCACAAUGGGCGGGAGCCGGAUGCAGCAACGCCGCGUGCGGGAUGACGGCCUUCGGGUUGUAAACCGCUUUCGCCUGUGACGAAGCGUGAGUGACGGUAAUGGGUAAAGAAGCACCGGCUAACUACGUG